rfam:Clostridium cellulolyticum H10, complete genome.
GAAUAUUGAAAGGGGAGCUGGAAAAUAAUCCGGCUGAGAUAAGUAUGUUUUACUUAAAACCCAUAUACCUGAUCUGGGUAAUGCCAGCGUAGGAAUUUUAUUUUGUCAUACU